rnacentral:rRNA from 1 species
GUGGGGAAUCUUAGACAAUGGGGGCAACCCUGAUCUAGCCAUGCCGCGUGAGUGAUGAAGGCCUUAGGGUCGUAAAGCUCUUUCGCUGGGGAAGAUAAUGACGGUACCCAGUAAAGAAACCCCGGCUAACUCCGUGCCAGCAGCCGCGGUAAUACGGAGGGGGUUAGCGUUGUUCGGAAUUACUGGGCGUAAAGCGCGCGUAGGCGGAUUGGAAAGGUGGGGGUGAAAUCCCGGGGCUCAACCCUGGAAUGGCCUUCAAAACUCCCAGUCUUGAGGUCGAGAGAGGUGAGUGGAAUUCCGAGUGUAGAGGUGAAAUUCGUAGAUAUUCGGAGGAACACCAGUGGCGAAGGCGGCUCACUGGCUCGAUACUGACGCUGAGGUGCGAAAGCGUGGGGAGCAAACAGGAUUAGAUACCCGGGUAGUCC